ACUCUUUGUUUUCCCAGAACAUAUCUCCUCUGCCCUAGUCUCUAAUCAACACAACGCAGGUGCUACCUCCUUCUAUCCAUCUCUCAAAAUCUGUGUUUUCUCAAAGCGAAGGUUGCAAAUUUGUUAGUUCGUGAUCGUGAAUCGCAGGUCUACCCUAGGUUUCAACCUCGCUCAUUUGCGAAACCCAGGUUCAAUAUGAAACCAUUAAAGACUAAAAAUGAGGUGGGAUCAUCUAUGAAGACUGUCGCCAAAUAUGCAUUCAUCCCGCCAGGUGCUAUACGAAAGGGAAAAGGACGGGGACGAGGACUUAGAUCUUUGGUUGAGAAAGAGAAUAUGCCAACUAACAGUUUAUUUCCUCAAUCUAGUGAUCUAGUUAAGAAAUACAUCCAAACAAUUGAAUCAAGUGCUAUAGGGAAGGGACGAGGACAAGGGCUUAAAAAUUCUACCAUGUCUGCUGGUCAAGGAAUGAUAUUAAGCAAUCAGAUUUUAUAUAGCUUUUCCUAAUUUAUAUAAAAAUUAUAUUAAGCAUCAGUACCACAGAUUCCUUCUUAUGGUUUUGGAUUUCAUUUUUCAUAUAGCUUUGUGAAUACUUCAGCAGCUAUCUUAAACUUGUAAACUCCUUUCCCUAAUUUUAUAAAAAUCCUAUUGUCUUCCAUACACAUUAUUGUCCCAGCCCUAUGCUACGGUGCUAGAGCUGACACUUGUAGCAAACUACUUACGUUUGGCUAAUGGUUUUUUCUGUUUGUGUUUGGUAAUUGCACAGGCUGCUUGAGCAUAACUAGCUUACUGGAAAAAUACCCCCUGCAUUAGGACUUGUGAAAACUCUGGAGGUGGUUCGUCUUGACAGGAAUUCAUUAGAUGGAUCGAUUCCAUCAACCCUCAAUAAUCUCACGCGUACGAGUGAACUCUUCUUAUCAAACAAUGAAUUCACUGGCCCCUUGCCUGAUCUUGCUGGCAUGAAUGCCCUCAACUACUUAGAUAUGAGCAAUAAUACAUUUAGCUCAGCUGAUUUUCCACUGUGGUUUUCAACCUUGCAGUCAUUGACGACUCUGGUAAUGGAAAACACUCAACUUCAAGGAGAAAUUCCGGCAACCCUCUUCAAUCUUUUUCAGUUGCAGACAGUGAUUUUAUACGGGAAGUUGACCCUGAUAUCAUAAUUGGAUAUAACAUCUGCAACUUUGAUUUGCCAUAUCUCAUCCGGAGAGCUGAAGUCUUAGGGAUGGCAGAAUUUCCUGUGCUAGGACGCAUCAGAAACAGCAGGGUUCGUAUAAAAGAUUCAACCUUUUCUUCAACUGAAUGACUACUAUUUUUGUAUGCUGACCAACUACCUUGUUGCUGCUGCUGGCUUGCAGAGCUUAUGGAGUUAAAAUAUGUUAAAAUAUGUCCCACGGGCUAAUCCUAAAGUUACUUCAUUUGUUUCUUAGGAUGACCAUAAUUUUGAAGGGAGCUUGGCUUACUCUCUUGAAUGGUAAAUUCCGAGUUAUAGUAGCGGGAUUUAUCGAACCGAAGGCCGAUUAUAUAAAUUGUAUUGUAUCAUUGUUGUUGGCAAGUUUGAGGUGUUGAAUUGAGAAUAUGAGUUAUCGGCAAAAACUCGUUCGAAAGAAGAUUGAGUAGCCUUGUUGAUAUUACUGGAUAAUACCUGAUGAAUUUAGACUGCUUUUGGGGUUUUGAAGAUUGAAGCUACAAGUCAAGAUUCAUGUUUGGAAGAUACACAAGCUCAUUAUUAUUUUGUUAGGAUGGUUAUGUAAAACUUGACAUCAUAGUCAAGCUUAGGAUGUUAGUAAGUUUUUUUGUUAAGGUGUUGAGCAAAUAUUGAAACUAACUUCAUGGGAUGUUAACAUUGUAAUUAAUAACUUUAUUUAUAUAUUAUAUAUAUUUACCUUUUU